rnacentral:lncRNA from 1 species
AAAUUUGUUAUUACGCUUGUUAUUUAAUUAACAUAGAAUUGUUAUAAAAGAUAAUUGCAAUAUUGUGUUUGGUAAAUUUGAUAACGCGUGUGCGAACGACGCAACGUUUUUUUUUUAUAUUUAAUUUUUAAAGGAUAGUUGGGAAUAUAGGAGAGAAAUUUAAUAAUCUUGGGAAUGGAUGUGUGUAGAGAGAAAAAAAGAAUUUAUAUAUUUAAUCGGCAAUUAUUUUACGCGUAUUUUAUAUCGCAGAAGUUUUUUUUUUGUACAAAAACGCUUAAAAUUUUUAUAAUAGGAGAGAUUGUAUAACCAGCGUUUAACGUUUACGAAAAAAAAAAAAGAAAGAAAAAGUGAUUUACAUGGAGUAUUAAUUGUAUAUACAAAGGGGAUAAAAAGAAGAAUUAAUCGAGUUAAUAUUUUUCUUGCGAGUGCAAAAAGAAGAGGUUCUAAUUUCUUUUUCUUUUUUACAGAGAAAGUAACAAGAAACUGUUAAACUGUUUAUAUUCGAAAAUAUGGUAAAUUCCAUUUGCGCGAACCUGUUCAAGAUAAGCAAAUUUAUAUGGCCAAGUUGUUUAUGCAAUAACGGUUUUAAUUAUCUCCACCGGUCCAUGAUUUUUCAUUCAAUCAAUAAGAGUCCAUUUGCACGUGAAUAACGUAAUAACGUUUCAUAUUUUACGAAGAAUUUGGGGGAAAAAAAGGGGAAAGGCCUUGCGCACACGUGGUAUAUAAUUAUUUAAUAAAUGAAGAAUUCAUUUAUUUUGCAACAGUGACACAGUUUAAUAAAUUAAUAAUACCUUGUUGAAUUAAAUACAGAUCUGAUCCUCCCAGAUUUUUCUUCGAAUUAAUUAAUUCUCGACAGUUUCGUAAAUUGGGAAUUUGCCUUAAAUAGAAUUUUGUGAAAUUGAAAAAGAAAUAUGAAGGGAAUUAUUAUGGCCAAGGAUUUGAAAAAGUAUUUAAAAAAAGUAGCGUAAGAAAAUUUUCAUCGCGCGAUUUCCUUGUGCACACUUUUAAUUGGCUUCGUAUAAUUUAAAUUAAAAAAAAAAAUUCCGAAAAAUUUCUAAAGUGAGAGGAAACCAUGUUCCAAGAGAAGUGAUUACCGAACAAAGGUGGCCCGCCUAACUUCUAAUAUUGAGAGCUUGACACAUCGGGAAGUCAGUGGCUCGAAGCCAAGAGAGACAGAGAGAAAGAGAGACAGAGAGAGAGAGAGACCUCCUCGUUCGCUGGACGAUGACUCCGAACGUUCGCCUAACGUUCCAUCCACAAUGAUUCGAUCCCCUCGAUCUCGAUCGAAUCGUGGAUCUGGAAAAUCGGAUCGAAGUAAUCCGUGCCACGGUGUCGCGUGAACCGUGACGCGUUUUCCCGGAUGAUCGGCCCCGUGGACUUUGUCACAAAGCCCUGGCCAAUGGCGAAACUCGUUUUUGCAAAGUGAUCGUUCAUCGAGACGCGAUCGAUGCUUGGUAAAAAAAAAAAAGGAAAAAACGACGAAAAGAGAUUUUAAAAAGAAAGGCGUUGGUUUCGAACCUAACCGACUGGCUCCGGCCGAACAAAGUCAAUUACAGGGAACAACAUAUUGGGUCGAGUCGUGCCGGAUGUACUACUCUCUCUUUCUCCCCCUGUUGUUUCGUUUUGCUUUUAUUAGGAAACGACGGUAGCCAGUUCUAAUACGAUUGAAGUAACUCGAAUCUCAAGGGAGAAGCAAGCGAAAAAGACGUAAACGUUGGAUACGAGGGCAACGAUAAUUAGCCGAGGAACGAGUGAAAAGAUAUUUUCACGAGAGACCAAUUUGCUAGGAAUCAUGAAGUUAUAAAAGGCGAUUAAAGAGAAUUGCGAAACAGCGAUGGUGCAGAGGGCAGAGAGAUAUUACGGAAAAAUUGGAUUUGAGGAUUCGUGGAAAAAUGUCUUCCAAGUUAAAGCCGUGGAUAAUUAAUUAGUCGACGAUAAUCCCGAUUCUCGUUAGUGAAACAACACGGGCUGUGCUCCUCUCGUGUCAAGGCUGUGUCUCAUUUUUCUCCAUUUGAUUUCGUCCUGGUAUUCGUCGUGGAAUGUUAAUAAUGUAUUAUAAUUAGAAUACUUUUAAUCUUGAAGCUUGAAAAGAUUAAUAAGUCUUUUCAGUGGAACGAGAUUUUUUCUCUUAAUCGAAUCAAUUUGUUGUUGGCGUAUAAACAAAAUGGAAAAUAUAAUAUUAAUCUCGAAGAAAAUUAAA